rfam:Hordeum vulgare subsp. vulgare, WGS project CAJW01000000 data, contig: morex_contig_39044
UUUAUACUCCCUCCGUCCCAAAAUUCUUGUCUUUGUUUUAUCUAGAUAUGAAUGUAUCUAGUCAUGUGUUAGUAUUGAGAUACAUCUAUUUCUAGAUAAACGUAAGACAAUAAUUUUGGGACGGAGGGAGUAUAUA